rnacentral:rRNA from 1 species
UACGAAGGGUGCAAGCGUUACUCGGAAUCACUGGGCGUAAAGCGUGCGUAGGCGGUUGAUUAAGUCUGCUGUGAAAGCCCUGGGCUCAACCUGGGAACUGCAGUGGAUACUGGUCAGCUAGAGUGUGAUAGAGGAUGGUGGAAUUCCCGGUGUAGCGGUGAAAUGCGUAGAGAUCGGGAGGAACACCGGUGGCGAAGGCGGCAUUCUGGACCAAUAUUGACGCUGAGGAGCGAAAGCCAGGGGAGCAAACGGG